UUAAACAUGAGAGUUUGAUCCUGGCUCAGAAUCAACGCUGGCGGCGUGCCUAACACAUGCAAGUCGAGCGCGAAAGGGGCUUCGGCCCUGAGUAGAGCGGCAAACGGGUGAGUAACGCGUGGGUGACCUACCUCUGAGUGGGGGAUAACCUUCCGAAAGGAGGGCUAAUACCGCAUGAUAUCGCGCCUUUGGACAGGCGACGAUCAAAGCCGGGGACCGCAAGGCCUGGCGCUUGGAGAGGGGCCCGCGUCCGAUUAGCUCGUUGGUGGGGU
rnacentral:rRNA from 1 species